ACCCGGCUACUUGUGUUCGGGAAACCACUGGGAAACGGAUGGCUAAUACCGAGAGAUGCUCUGCAGGGUGAAAAGUUAACUGCCUGAGGAUGAGCUCGCGUCUGAUUAGCUAGUUGGGGGUGUAAGAGGACUACCAAGGCGACGAUCAGUACCUGGUCUGAGAGGAUGAUCACCCACACUGGAACUGAGACACGGCUCCAGACUCCUACGGGAGGCAGCAGUGGGGAAUUUUCCGCAAUGGGCGAAAGCCUGACGGAGCAAUACCGCGUGAGGGAGGAAGGCUCUUGGGUUGUAAACCUCUUUUCUCAGGAAAUAAGUACUGAAGGUACCUGAGGAAUCAGCAUCGGCUAACUCCGUGCCAGCAGCCGCGGUAAUACGGAGGAUGCAAGCGUUAUCCGGAAUGAUUGGGCGUAAAGCGUCCGUAGGUAGCAGUGUGUGUCUAUUGUUAAAGAGUUUGGCUUAACCAAAUAAAGGCGGUAGAAACUACACAGCUAGAGUGCGUUCGGGGCAGAGGGAAUUCCUGGUGUAGCGGUGAAAUGCGUAGAGAUCAGGAAGAACACCGGUGGCGAAAGCGCUCUGCUAGGCCGCAACUGACACCUGAGGACGAAAGUAGGGGCCCCUUU
rnacentral:rRNA from 1 species